UGCAGCUCCUUUGUUUUAUGCCAUAUCACAUCUAGCUGCCUCUUACAUGGAGCCAAACAAAAUCAGCUUGUGCCUUGCCACACCAGAGGGCUCUCCGUGCUGCUGCUGCUGCCUGUCCAUGGUGAUGGAGUUGUUGUAGCCAUGAGAGAUGGUCUUUUGGCCAUCAUCAGAAGGAAAUAGGAGCAGAUUCUUCCCUGCCAUGCUGCACAGAGAAGAUUGUGGGAGAAUUAAUUUACUUUUUUGCCCCAGCAAAUGGGUUUUCUGACAACUCUGGCUCCUUUUGUGUUACUGAGCUGCAAAGACUCCAGAGGUCUUGACUCAAUGCUUCUCUUGCUUUCACAGGGGAAGAAAAAUGCAAAGACAUGCAUGAGAAAUCUCCUCUUUUGUGGAAAAUCACAGUAGAUGCUGGUACUUUGCUCCCCACACUGUGACAGUGCCCAGACAACUCGUGUGACCACUCUGAGGUUGAGCUUGCGACACUGCAAGAGCUGUGUUUUGACUCGGAAGCUGAGCACAUUUGCUAUGAAGGCUGUAGAAGGGACACCAGCCUUGGCAUUACCUACUUUACGCAGAGGAUGUUCCUUGUGGCUUCAGCGAGUGAGCUGCCUGCGUUAGCAGUACGGGAUUGCUGAGUGCCUGCCACGGUCUUCAUUCCAGCUCCUUAACCCCUUGCGUGGUCUGAAAGGCGGUGUGUUUGAGCUCCCCCACCUCGAUUCAGGCUGUGGCUCAGGAGGACAGAGUACGUACUGCAGGAUUAUAGAUUUGGCUGUAAGUACUCCUAGUGUACGUCAAAGGACAUGUACUUUCUAGAGGGUAUGUCGUGGGGGCUGCCUUUGCAGGUAGGGGAGAGGUAGCAAUGAGAGCUGGGCUGGGUUUGCCUCGUGGCCUUGCAUGUGCUUGGAGAUCCUGAAGGGUGUGGGGGGUGCUGUGGGUUUUGUGUCAGGCGCUGUGCGCUGAAUGAGGUGCCUGCCCAGGAAUCUGGCUGGGGAUGUUUCUCCUCCAAGCUCUCCAAUGUUUUGGGAUGUCCUGGGGAGGCUGCAGAGCUCAUUUCCUCUGCGCCUGGCACCAAGUCUGCUUCCCAGCUCUCCAGCAGCCACGCGAAGCUGCAGGGAGGCCAUGAGGUGAGGCAUGUUUGAGCUGUUACCUGGGCAACAGCUAAACAUUGACUUCAAAUAAUAAUUGCAAAAUAACUUAGCGUCAGGGCGAUGAGGCGGGGGAAAGGGGGCUGCCACUGCCCAUUGUCCCAGGGAGCCCCAUAAAAUCCUCAAUGAAAAGCUACUUGUACAAGCCAAAUUGGCUGGAGCUCAACCUGUGCUCGGAGCUCUUGACAAACUACACCCAGGCAGAGGCACCGUGGUGCCCCGGGCCCUUCAGGUGGCCUCCUGCUUCAUCACACCCAGCCACCUGCUACUGCCUGCCACCUCCCUGAGUUAUCUGUGCUUUUAACCAGGCUCUGGAUGGCUCUGUUAAACAUAUACGAGGGGAAAGCUUUGCACACAGACUGUUUCCCAAGUGUCCUGCUGGUGGUACAGUCUCCUGGCACACUGCUUACAUCCUCUGAGCAGUAAUCUGGGUGCCUUGCACCCAAGAGCUUUGCUAGACUUUAGUCAGUGACAGGUUGCUUUUUGAGUUUAGCCUUGAAACUAACAGCAAAAGAAAUGGAAAGCUCUGGGGCAAGUUGCAACUCUGCCACGUUGGUCCAGUAUUGUGGUCAGGGAGGUGGGUAUGAAUGCUGGUAACUGGGGACAGGGCAUGGCUUUCUGCGUGGAAGUAGCCUGGGUAUGACAAGCAUGGCUUAGCCAUGGCUUGUGUCUUGCUUUGCUGUGACAAGUUUGGCUCAAAGGAGAAGCAGAA
ensembl:lncRNA